rnacentral:rRNA from 1 species
GACGAACGCUGGCGGCGUGCUUAACACAUGCAAGACGAACGGAGAAAGCGGAGCUUGCUCCGCUGGAUCAGUGGCGAACGGGUGAGUAACACGAGGGCAACCUGCCCCCGACUUCGGGAUAACUCCUCGAAAGAGGUGCUAAUACCGGAUACGAAUCCUGCGGGCAUCUGCGGGAUUGGAAAGUUUUUCGGUCAGGGAUGGGCCCGGGGCCUAUCAGCUUGUUGGUGAGGUAGUGGCUCACCAAGGCGACGACGGGUAGCCGGCCUGAGAGGGCGACCGGCCACACUGGGACUGAGACACGGCCCAGACUCCUACGGGAGGCAGCAGUGGGGAAUAUUGCGCAAUGGGCGAAAGCCUGACGCAGCAACGCCGCGUGAGGGAUGACGGCCUUCGGGUUGUAAACCUCUUUCAGCAGGGAAGAAGCGAAAGUGACGGUACCUGCAGAAGAAGCACCGGCUAACUACGUGCCAGCCGCCGCCGUAA